rnacentral:tRNA from 1 species
AGAUUAAUAAGCUAAGAUAAGCUAUUGGAUUCAUACUCCAAUUAUAAAUUUAUAUUUUUAUUCUA